rnacentral:rRNA from 1 species
UACGUAGGGUCCGAGCGUUGUCCGGAAUUAUUGGGCGUAAAGAGCUCGUAGGCGGUUUGUCGCGUCUGCCGUGAAAGUCCGGGGCUCAACUCCGGAUCUGCGGUGGGUACGGGCAGACUAGAGUGAUGUAGGGGGAGACUGGAAUUCCUGGUGUAGCGGUGAAAAUGCGCAGAUAUCAGGAGGAACACCGAUGGCGAAGGCAGGUCUCUGGGCAUUAACUGACGCUGAGGAGCGAAAAGCAUGGGGGAGCGAACAGG